CCUACGGGAGGCAGCAGUGGGGAAUAUUGCACAAUGGGGGAAACCCUGAUGCAGCGACGCCGCGUGAGUGAAGAAGUAUUUCGGUAUGUAAAGCUCUAUCAGCAGGGAAGAAAAUGACGGUACCUGAUUAAGAAGCCCCGGCUAUCUACGUGCCAGCAGCCGUGGUCAUACGUAGGGGGCAAGCGUUAUCCGGAUUUACUGGGUGUAAAGGGAGCGUAGACGGCAGCACAAGUCUGGAGUGAAAUGCCGGGGCUUAACCCCGGAACUGCUUUGGAAACGGUGCAGCUAGAGUGCAGGAGAGGUAAGUGGAAUUCCUAGUGUAGCGGUGAAAUGCGUAGAUAUUAGGAGGAACACCAGUGGCGAAGGCGGCUUACUGGACUGUAACUGACGUUGAGGCUCGAAAGCGUGGGGAGCAAACAGGAUUAGAUACCCCGGUAGUC
rnacentral:rRNA from 1 species